rnacentral:rRNA from 1 species
ACGAACGCUGGCGGCGUGCUUAACACCUGCAAGUCGAACGGAAAGGCCCUGCUUUUGUGGGGUGCUCGAGUGGCGAACGGGUGAGUAACACGUGAGUAACCUGCCCUUGACUUUGGGAUAACUUCAGGAAACUGGGGCUAAUACCGGAUAGGAGCUCCUGCUGCAUGGUGGGGGUUGGAAAGUUUCGGCGGUUGGGGAUGGACUCGCGGCUUAUCAGCUUGUUGGUGGGGUAGUGGCUUACCAAGGCUUUGACGGGUAGCCGGCCUGAGAGGGUGACCGGCCACAUUGGGACUGAGAUACGGCCCAGACUUCUACGGGAGGCAGCAGUGGGGAAUAUUGCACAAUGGGCGGAAGCCUGAUGCAGCAACGCCGCGUGCGGGAUGACGGCCUUCGGGUUGUAAACCGCUUUCGCCUGUGACGAAGCGUGAGUGACGGUAAUGGGUAAAGAAGCACCGGCUAACUACGUG